rnacentral:rRNA from 1 species
GGAAUCUUGCGCAAUGGGCGAAAGCCUGACGCAGCAACGCCGCGUGCGGGAUGAAGGCCUUCGGGUUGUAAACCGCUUUCAGUAGGGACGAAUUCAGACGGUACCUACAGACGAAGCCCCGGCCAACUACGUGCCAGCAGCCGCGGUAACACGUAGGGGGCGAGCGUUGUCCGGAAUCAUUGGGCGUAAAGAGCUCGUAGGUGGCUCAGCAAGUCGGGUGUGAAAUUCUCAGGCUCAACCUGAGAACGCCACUCGAUACUGCUGUGGCUAGAGUCCGGUAGGGGAGUGUGGAAUUCCCGGUGUAGCGGUGAAAUGCGCAGAUAUCGGGAGGAACACCAGCGGCGAAGGCGGCACUCUGGGCCGGUACUGACACUGAGGAGCGAAAGCGUGGGUAGCGAAC